rnacentral:rRNA from 1 species
CGUAAUAAUAGAAACUAACCAGGAUUCCCUUAGUAACGGCGAGUGAACUGGGAUACCAACAAAAUACAUGUGCCUCGCGCGCAUGAUUUAGCCCGUCGAUACUAUCCUAGCAUAUUACCGGUCUCGGCCGGUAACCAAAUAUGCGGGAAUUGUAGCAUCGUAAUAAAAAUAAAAUAUAUACACGCACACACACCCACCGCGUACAUUCUUGUAAACACACAGCGUCUCCGCGUUGGAAAGCAAGUUUAUAUCCUCUUUGGAUAUGCCAUAGAGUGUGACAGCCACGUUUCACUCAUAUAACCCGUACGCACACACACACGCCCCGUGCACUAAUAUAUAUUUCUAUAACCUGAGUCGAGUUAUUU